UGUGUCCGUGGCUGUGUCGGUGGAGCGUCGUUGCUGAGUCGGUAAAGAAACAGCGCUUAUUAUUUCUACAACUGCAAGCAUGCAGGUGGGGUGUCGGUGUGGUAAUUUAAAACAACUGCCGUGAUUUCCUGAACGAUCAUUGCAGUCAUUACGUGACAUAAUGUGCGUUCGGAUGUAGUGAUUGGGAAGUGAAAAAUCCUCGUACAUUCUGCGAUGUUACAUAUUCGUGUAUUCGCGUAGGUCCGGGACAGAACGUGGCUUUGUAUGUUUAAUCCUCUGUUGACAAACAUCGUGCUGCGUAUUGGAAAGACGGAGGUCACCAAAGUUCGUCACGACGAGUUUUCAGUUAUUUACAGAGGGUUGAAAAACAGUCGGUCAGUGCUCGGUCGCAUAUAGACGAGAUUAAACAUAUUCAAUUCAAUUAUACGAGGUUAACAAUUCGGGAAUGAGCAAAGAACGAAAUUUCAGUGCGGCGUGGUGAAAAAAUUUCUAUUUAAAACAAUUGAAAAGCGAUAUUCAAAUUGGUUGUUAGUGGUUUACUAUUCCGUGUCAAGUUCGGUAUAUUUACGUAUAAAAAGGUAUAAUUACGCAACGUGGCAUGUUCCUGAUAAUUUUAGCUGUAUAAUUACGCAAAUCUGAUCCUCGACUGUUAUCUAAUGGAUAUUAUUUUGUAUAGUUUUGCAACUAGAAGUACAACGAACGUGCCAAUUUGCGUAGCUUUACAUUUUUUUUCAUAAAUUCAUUGUUCGGGUAUUUAGCUGCCAAUGAAUCCUAGUGUUGUGAGUGCAUCUCUUGAUUGACGCUGGAAGCCUGAAGUUCGCCGGCAACAUCACCGGAAACAUGCAUCACGCGGAUCCGCGAUACCCGAGUCUAGGAUGCUUAGAAAAUCAGAUCGUGUGAAAAUUAAGAACGGUGCACACGCAGCUGACUCCUCGUGCUGAUGGGGUCCAGAACACGCUCCAGAUGCGAGCUCUUGGUUUUUUCAUCAUUUUUCAUCCCCCAAUAAGCCGCACGUCGCUGACAUCCACCACCCUCGUGAGAAAUUUACCAAAUUUUCGCACCAACCGGACCGGACGUUCUUGCAGGCAUACACGAUCAGUUCCUGAUCCUCGGUUGACGAAUUGCCAACUUCCACUGAAUACAUAUGCGACAAAGAAAAAAAUUGGGAUGCACUGCAGUGAUCUUCGGUAAAAUCUUUUUCUCAGCUCCAGUCCGGAAAUCGCCGCUGCUUCGCACAUCUUCUGCACACUUUCAUACGUAGAAAUGAGGAUGCAUCGAAGGCUACCUGCCUGAAGUGCCUG